GACGAACGCUGGCGGCGUGCUUAACACAUGCCAGUCGAACGGAAAGGCCCCCACUUUUUUGGUGGGGGUGCUCGAGUGGCGAACGGGUGAGUAACACGUGGGUGAUCUGCCCUGUACUUCGGGAUAAGCUUGGGAAACUGGGUCUAAUACCGGAUAGGACCAUGGUUUAGUGUCUCAUGGUGGAAGAAUUAUUGUUUUGGUGCAGGAUGAGCUCGCGGCCUAUCAGCUUGUUGGUGGGGUAAUGGCCUACCAAGGCGUCGACGGGUAGCCGGCCUGAGAGGGUGGACGGCCACAUUGGGACUGAGAUACGGCCCAGACUCCUACGGGAGGCAGCAGUGGGGAAUAUUGCACAAUGGGCGCAAGCCUGAUGCAGCGACGCCGCGUGGGGGAUGACGGCCUUCGGGUUGUAAACUCCUUUCGUUAGGGACGAAGCCGCACCUUUUUUGGGUGUGGUGACGGUACCUUUGUUAAGAAGCACCGGCUAACUACGUG
rnacentral:rRNA from 1 species